AAGAACAAGCAAAGUCUUUAAUUCUAUCGCAGAGAGAAAGAAUCUAUUAUCAGAGCACACUUCACAGCAAAGGUGGCGAAAUAAUGUUGGUCGGUAUGGCCAAGAAGACCGAGCCAUAGAAGCCAAUACAGGUUACAGUGGAUGAUGAAUGAGAAUGGUGCAGUAGAAUCCUUGGGUAGGCGGUCCUUUUCCUUGUAGGAUUUAGUAUGUAUAAUCCUUUUCCUGUAGGAUUUACUUUCAAAUUCACAGUGUCGUUUGCCCUUAGAGAGUUGGUGUUUGAUUGAACAGCGUUUUUUUUUUGGCGUUUAAUAAAUUCGCUGCUAACUAGAGGCAAUUACAAGCACAUAACUAUUCAAUGCCAAUCGUCCGAUGCGGUCUCUCUCUCUAUUCAGAUCCCUAAUUUAUAUAUCUGUGGUUACGGCUUUCAAAUUUAUUUCAUCAAUUUCAAAAGCUCGCAAUUUUAUCCAAAAAUUCGAGAGGAAAUGGCGCUGAGGAAGUUCUACAGCGAGAUAAAGGGGUUGAAAGUGAAGAAAGUGCCCAACUAUGUAAAGCGGAUGCUAUCAAUCGAUUACGUGAAGAAAUAGGUGCAGAAAUCUUUGGACAAUUACCACGGCAAUGACAUCAAGACCAGCCCCAUUGAUCCUCUCUACCGUGAUGGUGGCAUGAUCUUUUCCAACCUUGUUGCUCUUCCGGAGGAGCACCGCCACUUCGAGCGCUAGCAACACUAAGGAGCACGACCACUGAUUCGUUGACUUAUCAAUUCAUCAUCUGUCAGUGAUUCAGUGAACUUCCUCUUGGAGCUUCGGUGCAUCAGGAGUUAGAACAGCAGAUGCCCUCAUCUGAUAUUCCAUCCAAAAUUCUUUGUCAAGUGAUCAAAAUUGAUCUUCAGCAAAGAGAGUUUUCUGGCACCAAUCCUGAACUCCUGAAACCUGCAGAAAGAUGCACGGGAAAUUCAUUUUAGAAAACACUUACUGCUUCGGAUGAUAUGCAGCAACAGACACCUUGUCAACAAUUGAUUGCAAAAGAUCUGCACGGCAACGAGUGGCAUUUCCAACAUGUUAAUCAGACUUGGAGCUUCGGUGCAUCAGGAGUUAGAACAGCAGAUGCCCUCAUCUGAUAUUCCAUCAAAAAUUCUUUGGCAAGUGAUCAAAAUUGAUCUUCAGCAAAGAGAGUUUACUGGCAGCAAUCCUGAACUCCUGAAACCUGCAGAAAGAUGCACGGUGAAUUCAUUUUAGAAAACACUUGCUGCUUCGGAUGUAAGCAAGCAUUGUACUUCAAAUAUUUAUCAAAAGCAUGCAUAGGAAUGUCUACCAGCAUUGGAUAUGCAGCAACAGACACCUUGUCAACAAUUGAUUGCAAAAGAUCUGCACGGCAACGAGUGGAAUUUCCAGCAUGUUAAUCAGUG